GGGGCGAGAGAGGCGCGCAGGCGCGGGCCGCCUGGCGGUACUUCGAAGAAAGACUUGGGGACGCACAGAAGCUGCUCGUGGUACUCGAAGUAGGUGAGCAGGUGGCCCCUGUCUCUGUAGUUGGAGCCGGGCGCGAUGUUGUUGGCGUACUUGAUGGCCGUGCUUGCGACCAUGUCGUGCACGGUGAGGAGUGUCUCGUUGCUAACCUAGUCCUUGCUGAGCCGCAGUCGCGCCUCCUCGUCGCGCUCCGUGGUCCAAGUAGCUCAGCCUGCGGACAGGCGGGUCGGCGGCGUCCGGAGACCCCCAGUGGACCUAGAGAGAGGCGAGCAGCACAUCUUGGUUUGGACAGGCCACAUUGUGGCCAGUGGCUGCCAUAUUGGACAGCACUGGUAUAAGAGGGUCCAUCUCUCACUCCCGCAUCAAUGUCCAAUGGUUUCUCAUUCAACUGGAAAGUGAAAUUGGAAAUCUCACGAAAGAUGAAGAAUUAUGAAUGUGGUACGUUGAACUGCUGGGCCCACCCACAAGACAUCGACACAUGAAGGUGCAGAAGGGUUAAACCAGUUAACACUGAACAAAGGACAAUGGAUGUGAUGAGUCACAGGCUGAGUUGUACCCCUCCACAGUUCACGUGUUGAAGUCCUAACCUUUAGUACCUCAGGAUAUAACUUCUUUGGAAACAGGAUCAUUACAGAAGUUAAAAUGAGGUCAUUAGGGUGAGCCCUAAUCUUAUUAACCUGUCCUUAUAAAAGGGAAAUUUGAACACAGAGACACCCACAGGGAAGAUGAUGUGAAGACACAGAGAGAAGACAGCCAUCAGCAAGCCAAGGAGAGAGGUCUGGAAUGGAUCCUCCCCUCACAGCCCUCAGAAGGAACCAAGCCAAUCAGCCUCUCAAUCUCACAGUUUUAGCAUGCAGAUCUGUGAGACAAUACAUUUAUGUUGUUUAAGCCCUCCAGUCUGUGGUACUUUGUUAUGUAGCCCCAGCAAACUAAAACAUGGGUUGGCUGGUGGCAUUAGAACAAUUUGCCCAGGAGAAGGUUACAGGCAGCCUAUAGGACAAUUGAAGAUGCAUUCUACUUUCUGCCUGCAUUGUGCAUCUAGUGAAGAAAACAAACAAAAAAAACUAUCAGUGAUUCAUGGUGUCAUGGAGGCUCCCUCUGCACAUGCCUUGGGGAGAGGAGAGGAGAGGAGAAAUGGUGGGUAGUGGAAGUUCAAGCCUCCAUCCCUUAUUAAUCUGUGUAAUGGGCCAACACACCUAAUUCCUUGGAUUCCUGGCAAGUAGAACUUUCUCCACUAAAGUUUCUGACAAAAGGCCUUCUCCAAAUAAGACCCAAAGAGACAUUUGGGAUUUAUUGCCUCCUACUUUCUAGAAACAAAUAGAAAAGGCGGGAAGCACAGCUCACAUCAUUGGUGGCUAGUUGAAGGAGUUUACAUACCCUACCAUGACCCUGGUAUGAGUUGAAGCCUGCUGCUCAGAACCCACUGCAACUGUGUGUGUCUGUGUCUGUGUGUUCUGCAAUUCCAAUCACAGAUCUGCCUGCCACACAGUGGAGCCCUCUCUUGGACUCUGAAUGCAUAGCCCAGCAAAGCCAAGCAACUGAAUCUCACCAUCAGAACAGGUGACAGCAGCUCCAUCAAAGCUGUCGGUGGUACAUGAGAUCAAUUUGUUUUUUGUAUUUCUGGGCUACAAAAUGUCUCUUAAGUUUCAUCGUUGGACCUAUUGAGAAAGGAGAAAUCAAUUGAGUUACGGAGAUAAAAGAAAAUUCCAUACACCCAUGCAUGACCAGGCAACAGAGUCCCAUGCCUCGGGCUAGGCUGGGUGGCUGGCUGUGCCAUUGACUUUCAGGGUGUGUAACUUUUGCCAUCUGUAUGGGGAUGAUAAAACUUCCAUGUGGUCCUUCAGCUGUGGUGAGGAUUCUGUGAGGUGGAAGGUGAAGAGCACGCUGCAUUCUGUGCCUGAUGUGGACUGUGUACCCAAUGGAGGAGGGAUAUCAUCAUCUCAAACCAUGCCCCAUCCCCAUUUUACAGGUGAGGAAACUGGAACAUAGAGAGGACCAGUUCCUCUGAGGUCAGCCAGCAAGUGCAUGGCAGAAUCAAGACUCAAACUGGGAGUUGUCUGCUCCCUCAGCCCAGGACUUUCGUUGAAAGCCUCUGAGUCACCAGGGGCAUUGAUGACCUCUCUGCGUGUCUCAAGCAACCCCACAAGGACUGUUUUUCAGCUUAUAGUUGAGAAGACCACCAGCCUGGACAACACGGCAAAACACCAUCUCUACAAAACAAAAAGAAAAUAGCCACACGUGGUGGAGCACACUCGUCCCAGCUACUCAGGAAGCUGAGGUGGGAGGAUUGCUUGAGCCUGGGAGUUCAAGGCUGCAGCGGCAAGUCGUGAUCAUGCCAUUGUACUCCAACCUGGGUAACAGAGCGAGACUGUCUCAAAACAAACAAAAAACAAGGCUCAGUAGGACAAGUCACUUCCCUGUGUAGAGGGGACAGGAUUUCAACCCAGGUUGUUCAAUGCCACAUGCUUGCUCUGACUCUUCCAUCCACACCGUCAGAUUACAGCCAAGCACUGACAGCAAACUCCCAAAUGAAAGUACAUUGGUAGAAUCCAGUAUCCCCACUCUGGAGUGAGCCCUUCCCUCAUAGGGAAAGAGAGGCAAAAAUAAGACUCAUACAGAGAAUAAUUUCAUGUUCUGAUGCUUUAAAGAAGACAAGGUGGUAUAAUGGGGGUGACAGUGAGCUACAGGGUGAAAUAUUAAGGACAAUGGCAAGCCACUUAAGCCAGCAUGGUCAGGGAAGGCUGAAACCAUUCCUAAAAACUUUAUAAUAUUAAUCAGAGAAGAAGGGAGGGGGAGAAACUAAAAUCAGCCAUACUUACAACACACUCAACAUUCAUCAUUAGGUCAGUUUGCUCUCUGACCCCUUCCUCAUAGCUAGCUGUCUGCCUAUUGCCCCAGAAUCACACACACAAAAAAAACCCAGUCACAAGAUAUAGUUCCCCUUAACUGUUCUACAGAUAACAUAUUAAGCAUUGUGAAAGGUUAAGUUUUCCAUUUGAGAUAUCUUUUCAAGUCCUGCAUACCAGUGAAACUACUGAUGCCCACUGAUCUGAAGGACCCCACAGGAGCUGAAUUACCAAAGAAUGCAGCUUCCACAUCCAGAUGAUUUCAUCCCCCUUACCCGAACCAAUCAAUGACUCUAAUUUUCCAGCCCUUCACCCCCAAAGAUCCCCUUAAAACCCCAGCCCAGAAUUCCUCAAAGAGAGAUUUGAGGGUUCUUUCCAUCUCAGUUGGCUUCCCUGCAAGGGAAUUUAAUUUCCUUUUUUAUUUUUAUUUUUGUUGUUUGAUUUUUUGUUUUUGAGACAGGGUCUCCAUUGCUUAGGCUGGAGUGCAGUGGCAUGAUUGUGGCUCACUGCAGCCUUGACCUCCCCGGGCUCAAGUGAUCCUCUCAGCCUCCUGAGUAGCUGGGCACAUGCCACCAUAUCCAGCUAAUUUUUGUAUUUUUUUGUAGAAAUAGUAUUUCACCAUGUUGCCCAGGUUGGUCUCAAACUCCUGGGCUCAAGCAGUCUGCCCACCUCAGCCUCCCAAAGUGUUGGGAUUACAUGUGUGAGUCACUGUGCCUGGCCAUAAUUAAACUCUGUCUUUGCUGCAUCCCUUGCUGUCUCAGUGUAUUGGUAUAUUAGUGUGCAGUGGGCAUACAAACCUGGUGGUCCUGUAACAAGGCUGCUCUGAGGAGGAAGAGGCCUGUAGGGUGAGACCUGGACCAUGAGAAGGAGCCAUCCAGGCAAGGAAUUGAGGGGGAAGGGUAUUACCAGGGAGGCAGACUGGCAAGUGCAAAGGCCUUACAGUUGGACAAAGCCCAGAGAGCUGCAGGAACAUCAAGAAAGCCCAUAGAGUUGGUGCAGAGUGAAUGAAAGGUCAGCAGGAGAGAGAUUGUGUAGAGCUAUAGUAAGGAGUUUGGAUUUUAUUUCCAAGAUGAGGAGCUGGGGACCAGUUAGCUAGAGGUGGCAGCAUCCCUCUCCUGGUCCCUGGCUGGUCUCAUAGAUCCUCUGACCUUCAGAAAAGGACCCGUCUCUUCAGAGCCCACACAGUCCCGGAUGCUAACAAGGGACCAGUCUCCAAACGUCAUGGCCACUCACCUAGCUCUCCACCAUAGAUGGAAAAGUCCUUCUCCAAGAUGACCCACUUUUGAAUCUUCUGUGUAUUGUUCAUGGCUUCCUGGUUCACAGCAUUGAUGCCUUGCUGGAUGGCCUUGUAGACCAGGGGGUCUUGCUGCUUCACAAUCUCAGUCACGGUGGAUGCCUGGCUUCCCAGACCCCGGCAGAAGUUGAUGGCCUCCAAGUUCAGCUUGUCCAGAGGUUCUCCGCUCAUCUGAUUCAUCUCACACUGCCCCCGGACACCUCUGUCACCACACAUACUCCUUGACCAGCACCCCUCCCCAGGCCCACAGACCAAGAAGUGGGUCUUGAACCCACAGCUGCAUCCUCUUGACCCUGGGGUGGGGCCAGGGAACGUAAGAGCGGCUGCAGAGACUUCCCCCAAUGACAGAAAACCCAUGUUACCUUCAGCGUCAGCAACAUGCUCAGAAACUUCAGUUUAUCUCCUACUAACAUGGCGUUACUGAUGAUGGGGAUCUUCUUCUUAACCAAGGUCUCAACGGGAAUGGGGGGCACGUUUUCACCACCAGCAGUGAUAAGGAUUUCUGGAACAGAGCUUGACUUGGUACACGUCCAGCCAUGACAACGUGGAACCCCCAACCCCUUGGAGAUCAGAAGGGCAGCUGCUGGCAUGGCCAACACUCACCCAGAAAGCCCCAGAAGCACAGGAGGACCUGGCCCUCUUCCCCCACCCACUUUUAAUUAUCAUCAAGUGUCCAAAGUUGUGACUUCCACUUGGACAGCAUCUUAAUAAUUCAUUUCCUAUCUCCUGGUCCACCAUGCCCUGGUUUUAGGUUCUUCCAAUAUGUCUUCCUUGAAAGAUAGUGAAGCCUUUUUGGCCACACCUUGCCUGUCUGUUGCCUCCUAGUCACUUAGUAACCCCUUCAGAAUGUAAUGUAAUUCCAGUCUUAGCCCCAGGGACAUGUGUAGUAACCCUAAUUUUGGCAAACUCUGCAAGAAUCUCCCUUAGUCUCUCAGAUUCUUCAACAGCGUCUCCUCCUGCCCCAGACCCACUGGUCACUUGUUCUUUCAUCCUAAGAUGCUUCCCUCUUUCUGUCCCACCCACUCAAACUCGUUCUCCCUUGUCCCAGAGACUCACAAAGUCACCUUUACUGUGGUCAUUAAUAGCAGUAAGAAUAAAUAUGACCAUGAAAUGGA